UGGGGAAUCAUAGUCAAUGGGCGAAAGCCUGAUGCAGCAACGCCGCGUGAGCGAUGAAGGCCUUUGGGUCGUAAAGCUCUGUCCUUGGGGAAGAACAAAAUGACGGUACCCUUGGAGGAAGCCCCGGCUAACUACGUGCCAGCAGCCGCGGUAAUACGUAGGGGGCGAGCGUUAUCCGGAAUUAUUGGGCGUAAAGAGUGCGUAGGUGGUCUUGUAAGCGGGGGGUGAAAGGCAUCGGCUUAACCGAUGUUAGCCCCCCGAACUGUGAGACUUGAGUACAGGAGAGGAAAGCGGAAUUCCUAGUGUAGCGGUGAAAUGCGUAGAUAUUAGGAGGAACACCAGUGGCGAAGGCGGCUUUCUGGACUGAAACUGACACUGAGGCACGAAAGCGUGGGGAGCAAACA
rnacentral:rRNA from 1 species